rnacentral:rRNA from 1 species
UACGUAGGGUCCGAGCGUUGUCCGGAAUUAUUGGGCGUAAAGGGCUCGUAGGCGGUCUGUUGCGUCGGGAGUGAAAACUUACAGCUUAACUGUGAGCGUGCUUCCGAUACGGGCAGACUUGAGGCAUUCAGGGGAGAACGGAAUUCCUGGUGUAGCGGUGAAAUGCGCAGAUAUCAGGAGGAACACCGGUGGCGAAGGCGGUUCUCUGGGACGGUACUGACGCUGAGACGCGAAAGCGUGGGGAGCGAACAGG